UCCAGUACACUCUCAUUGGCUCAUCAUGGGCUUGGGUGUAACUGUGUCUUUAGCCUGUCGUCUGUGUUCUAUUUGGAGUGAACAGAAGGUCAUGUGACUCCAGAAGUCACCUAAUACAGAGAGGCUUGAGAGAACCAAACAUGGCCCUACCAAGGAUGGGAUGAAAUGCAGCUGAGAGGGACCCUGCUGAGAGUGGAGCAUCCGGAGGGACAAUCCUGAUAUGGUUAUUUCCCCUACAGGUAAAGCUGAGCUGACCAGAAACAUCCCACCCACCCACGUAAGAGGGAAACUACAGUGGGAAAAGCUACGUGCAGAUGUUGUCUUCCACACUCGCCUCUGAUUGGCAGAAGAAAAAACAUGGAAAAAGCAGAAUGUGAAAUAGAAGUUCCUGCUUGCCA